UACAGGGGGUGCAAACGUUGCUCGGAAUCAUUGGGCGUAAAGCGCGUGUAGGCGGCUCGAUAAGUCUGCUGUGAAAGUCCAGGGCUCAACCCUGGAAUGCCGGUGGAAACUGUCGAGCUAGAGUCCGGAAGAGGCGAGUGGAAUUCCUGGUGUAGCGGUGAAAUGCGCAGAUAUCAGGAGGAACACCAAUGGCGAAGGCAGCUCGCUGGGACGGUACUGACGCUGAGACGCGAAAGCGUGGGGAGCAAACAGG
rnacentral:rRNA from 1 species